rnacentral:rRNA from 1 species
CCUACGGGAGGCAGCAGUAAGGAAUAUUGGUCAAUGGAGGCAACUCUGAACCAGCCAUGCCGCGUGCAGGAUGACGGCCCUAUGGGUUGUAAACUGCUUUUAUACAAGAGAAAACCCUGGUACGUGUACCAGGUUGAUAGUAUUGUAAGAAUAAGCAUCGGCUAACUUCGUGCCAGCAGCCGCGGUAAGACGGAGGAUGCAAGCGUUAUCCGGAUUCAUUGGGUUUAAAGGGUGCGUAGGCGGACUGAUAAGUCAGUGGUGAAAUCUCUUUGCUUAACAAAGAAACUGCCAUUGAUACUGUCGGUCUAGAGUAUAGAUGACGUUGGCGGAAUAUGACAUGUAGUGGUGAAAUACUUAGAUAUGUCAUAGAACACCGAUUGCGAAGGCAGCUAACGAAACUAUAACUGACGCUGAGGCACGAAAGUGCGGGGAUCAAACAGGAUUAGAUACCCUGGUAGUCCGCACCGUAAACGAUGAUUACUCGUUGUUGGCGAUAUGACAGUCAGCGACCAAGCGAAAGCGAUAAGUAAUCCACCUGGGGAGUACGCCGGCAACGGUGAAACUCAAAGGAAUUGACGGCNGAGAGNGCGAGGACGACGACGAGGGAGGAGG